rnacentral:tRNA from 1 species
GGGAGUGUAGCUCAGUGGUAGAGCAUUCGACUGCAGAUCGAGAGGUCAGUGGUUCAACUCAGCUCGCUCCCU